GCUAUUUCCCCCACCAAUUGUUUUGCACUCCUUGAUCUCUUUUCCAAUAUGUGUUGAUUCCUUUCAAUUGUAUACAGCCAUUCUGUAUAUGCCCUCUUGAAUACCUGAGCUUCCUGUGAUUUACCUUUUGCUUUUUGAAUGAUCCAUUUCUCCAGUUGUUCCCAUUGUGUUGUUCUGAAGCUAGAAACCUUCAUCCAUUUUAGAACCCCUUCCCAGACUUUGACAGAAUAAGGACACUCCAUGAAGAUAUGAUUCCUCGUUUCACUUUGACUAUUG
rnacentral:lncRNA from 1 species